rnacentral:rRNA from 1 species
CCCGACUGCUAUCAGAGUGGGAUUAAGCCAUGCGAGUUAACGUAGCAAUACGUGGCAUACGGCUCAGUAACACGUAGUCAACAUGCCCAGGGGACGUGGAUAACCUCGGGAAACUGAGGCUAAACCGCGAUAGGCCAAGAUUUCUGGAAUGGAUCAUGGCUUAAAUCUAUAUGGCCCCUGGAUUGGACUGCGGCCGAUCAGGCUGUUGGUGAGGUAAUGGCCCACCAAACCUGUAACCGGUACGGGCUCUGAGAGGAGGAGCCCGGAGAUGGGCACUUAGACAAGGGCCCAGGCCCUAUGGGGCGCAGCAGGCGCGAAACCUCUGCAAUAAGCGAAAGCUUGACAGGGUUACUCUGAGUGAUUCCCGCUAAGGGAAUCUUUUGGCAUCUCUAAAAACGAUGCAGAAUAAGGGGUGGGCAAGUCUGGUGUCAGCCGCCGCGGUAAUACCAGCACCCCGAGUGGUCGGGACGAUUAUUGGGCCUAAAGCAUCCGUAGCCGGUCUUGCAAGUCUUCCGUUAAAUCCACCUGCUUAACAGAUGGGCUGCGGAAGAUACUACAAGACUAGGAGGCGGGAGAGGCAAGCGGUACUCAGUGGGUAGGGGUAAAAUCCUCUGAUCCAUUGAAGACCACCAGUGGCGAAGGCGGCUUGCCAGAACGCGCUCGACGGUGAGGGAUGAAAGCUGGGGGAGCAAACCGGAUUAGAUACCCGGGUAGUCCCAGCUGUAAACGAUGCAGACUCGGUGAUGAAUUGGCUUCAUGCCAAUUCAGUGCCGCAGGGAAGCCGUUAAGUUUGCCGCCUGGGGAGUACGGUCGCAAGACUGAAACUUAAAGGAAUUGGCCGGGGGAGCACCCACAAGGGGUGAAGCCUGCGGUUC